UUAGGCCCUAUAUUGGUGCGAGAGACAAGGAGAACCGAAGCCAUCCCAGUGCACACCCAGCUUCUCUCCAGUCUGUGCUGUUGCCCAGCGCCACAUUGCAGGAUUAGAUUGGAGAUAUGCGCUCCUUGAGAAGAAGGGCUUUUCCACCUGCAUGACACAGGGCUGGAAUACUUGUGGAGCGCAGUGUCAGCCACUCCCACACCCGGUGAGUUCCUGACAGCGUAGUGUCAUCAGAUCAUUAGUACUCGCUGCCCGUCUUAAGAGGAAAUGCUUUUCACGGCAGGGUGAUGGAUGCCACAAUUCCCCUGGCCCCAGCCUACACCCAAUUCCCUUACAAUCAUCACCAACGAGCCCACAUCAAACGAGGACUUCACCCUGUAGGAGCCGUGAAUAGGGUGAAAUAUAAAGAGAAUGAUUUUAUAUGACUAAUAGUAAUUGGACAUUAUUUAUAUUAAUGUUAAAUAUUGUUUGGUGUUAUUAUUAUUGUUGAUUAUUUGUAUAAUUAUGGUUAUUUGUUGGGAGCUGGUGACAUGGAUAGGGUGGGGACGUUUAUUUAGGUACCUGCUGCUUACCUGCACGUAUGCAGUUGUUGAAGGAGAGGGUGUGUGGGAUGCGGUGUUUUCUGUUGACCGUAAACUUGAUCGCUGUGAGCCAUACACUACACCCACAUGGCAUUCAGAGCAGCAUCACUAAACGAACCGAAUUAUGUUAACAGAAAAGUAUUUCAUUCAAUCAACAUAUAAUUUGCAAUGCACACCUGUUUGAGUGAACUCUGGACAUCUGACAGAACCAGAAUCAGCCUGUGAGGCGUUCAGGGCCACCUGUAAGCGUGUUCUCUAUCAAUAAGCAGACAUUCAACAGGUGAGACUCUCUCCUGUGCCAAAUACGAGGGAAGUUGCUUUCACCAGUGCUGCCAGUUAGUCACUAAAACAUGUUCUUAUUGUAUUUGCUGGUGACUGUUUCAGUGUGUGUAAAGUAAAGGUUUCCCUUCUUAUGUGGUGUUCAGUUCUGAUUUGAAACACUGCAGCUGCCUUUCAGUGAUUCAACUCUGUGAUGACUGUUUUUUCUCUCUGUUUUACAGGGAUACACACAAUUUCAGUCCAUGGAGAACCAACGUACCUGACUGGUACUGAAGGUAGCAACAUCACGCUACCGGACAAAGUGAUGGAAUCUGGGACUCUCUCAUGGGGGGGGGUAUCUCGUCUUGUGGUGUCAAACGGGAUGAUCGGCAAAAGAUUGGACAACAGGUUAUUGUGGAACAACUCUACUGGAGAGAUUACAAUCACUGAUCUUGGGAAAGAUGACACUCGGGAGCUGAUUCUUAACAUCAGAAACCGUUCCCCUGUGAUAUACAGCCUGACUGUCCAUGCUGCUGAAGUGACUCCUGCCGUGAAUCCUGCAGUGACUCCUGCAGUGAAUCCUGCAGUGUUCCUGUCCCUGCUCCUGCUCCUGGUCAUCCCAGGAUUUUGAGUUUAUUUUUGUUUCAUAAGAGAAGAGCCAGAAUCAUCAGUGAUCUGACAGG